AGAGUUUGAUCCUGGCUCAGGACGAACGCUGGCGGCGCGCUUAACACAUGCAAGUCGUGCGGUACCGAUGGCAAGUCUUCUUGACGAGCCUUCGGUAUAGCGGCGGACGGGUGAGUAACACGUGAGUAGCUGUCCUAGGGAGGGGGAUAACGCCUGGAAACGGGUGCUAAAACCCCAUAAGCCUCGAAAGAGGUAAAAGUGCAUCACUGCAGUCCUAGGGUGUGCUCGCGGCCUAUCAGCUAGUUGGUGAGGUAAGGGCUCACCAAGGCCAAGACGGGUAGCCGGCCUGAGAGGGUGUACGGCCACACUGGAAUUGAGAUACGGUCCAGACUCCUACGGGAGGCAGCAGUGGGGAAUUUUGGGCAAUGGGCGAAAGCCUGACCCAGCGACGCCGCGUUGGGGAUGAAGUCCCUCGGGGCGUAAACCCAUGUUGUAGGGGAAGAAGAAAGUGACGGUACCCUACGAGAAAGCCCCGGCCAACUACGUGCCAGCAGCCGCGGUAAAACGUAGGGGGCGAGCGUUGUCCGGAAUUACUGGGCGUAAAGGGCAUGCAGGCGGUGCGCCAAGUCGGGGGUGUAAAGUUACGGCUCAACCGUGACCUUGCAAUCGAAACUGGCGCACUGGAGUGCGGGAGAGGGAAGUGGAAUUCCCGGUGUAGCGGUGAAAUGCGUAGAUAUCGGGAGGAACGCCAGUGGCGAANGCGGCUUCCUGGCCCGCGACUGACGCUCAUGUGCGAAAGCCAGGGGAGCGAACCGGAUUAGAUACCCGGGUAGUCCUGGCCGUAAACGAUGGGUGCUAGGUGUAGGCGCGUCAAGCGUCUGUGCCGAAGUUAACGCGAUAAGCACCUCGCCUGGGGAGUACGGUCGCAAGGCUGAAACUCAAGGAAUUGACGGGGCCCGCACAAGCGGUGGAGCACGUGGUUUAAUUCGAUGCAACCGAGA
rnacentral:rRNA from 1 species